GACAAACGCUGGCGGCGUACUUAAGACAUGCAAGUCGAACGGGUGUCCUGCUUUCGGGUGGGAUGCUAGUGGCGGAUGGGUGAGUAACGCGUAGGAACCUGUCGUUAAGUGGGGGAUACCGCUGGGAAACCGGCGCUAAUACCGCAUGUGGUCGAGUGAUCGAAGAAAGCAGCACUGCGCUUGAUGAGGGGCCUGCGUCCGAUUAGCUAGUUGGUGGGGUAAAGGCCUACCAAGGCGCGAUCGGUAGCUGGUCUGAGAGGAUGGUCAG
rnacentral:rRNA from 1 species